UUCACUUUAAUACAAAAACUAUCACGAUAUACUGUACAUGUAAGGUCCGUUUCAUGUGAAAAUGAAUUUCCUUAUUUCCUUGUUCUAUUCUUCCAACUUUCAAACGUAUUCUUUGGCCCAUAUUUCGUCAGUGUACACAUUUUCAUGCUCGACGAAGCUAGAUGCCAUCUACGAAGGAGCACUUUCAAAUUUGAUUUUGAAGUGGUUUUGUACGUUUCACCUUCAAUUUUAUAUCCAGCGCAAUCGUAGGAACUUUUUUCAGUACCAGAGGGCGAUUUUGAGCUUAAUAAACCGACGUUUCUUGCAAAAAUUCUCACUUUAGUAAGUUACAGCGUCAAAAUAUAAUACAAUUCUAU